rnacentral:rRNA from 1 species
CCUACGGGAGGCAGCAGUGGGGAAUAUUGCACAAUGGGGGGAACCCUGAUGCAGCGACGCCGCGUGGGUGAAGGAGUAUUUCGGUAUGUAAAGCCCUAUCAGCAGGGAAGAACAAUGACGGUACCUGACUAAGAAGCACCGGCUAAAUACGUGCCAGCAGCCGCGGUAAUACGUAUGGUGCAAGCGUUAUCCGGAUUUACUGGGUGUAAAGGGGGCGAAGGCGGCGGGUUAGGCCUGGUGUGAAAGUCCGCGGCCAAACCGCGGGACUGCAUUGGGAACGGGCGCGCUGGAGUGCCGGAGGGGUAGGCGGAAUUCCUAGUGUAGCGGUGAAAUGCGUAGAUAUUAGGAGGAACACCAGUGGCGAAGGCGGCCUACUGGACGGUGACUGACGCUGAGGCUCGAAAGCGUGGGGAGCAAACAGGAUUAGAUACCCGAGUAGUC